rnacentral:misc_RNA from 1 species
CCGAAUUGUCGACACGAGUUGUUGCUGGUCCUCAGACGGGGGCACGUGCACGCUCUGUCUAUACAUCCACUCACACCUGUGCACCCUCUGUAGUUCUGCGACCUGGGUGACUCUGUCCCCUUGCCGUGGUUCUGCGUCUUUACACACACACCGUAACAAAGUCUCGUGGAAUGUGCACCGCGUUUAACGCAAUACAAUA